rnacentral:lncRNA from 1 species
CCUGUUGCCGCGACUGUUAAAAUGCAUAUGUAGCUAUCCCUGUAACUAUUGAAAUCCAUUUAACUUGCAAUGCAACUAGCAAUGUAACUAGCAAUGCAAGAUUUAUCACCAAACAUCAAUCUUAUUUAUCUUAUAGAAAAGCAUGUAAAGAGAAGGGUAUUUGACUAUAUCUUGAUCUCUUAAAUGUAUUUGAUGAGUAAAAACACAUAUAACAGUGAAACAUAUUAUAGUUCCAACUACGCAAAAUUUAUCUUUUUUAGAGAAAAGCUUUAACAUCCUCAUAAUUCAAACUAAGCAACUAACAUGACUUUCUCCAGCUCAAGUCUAGAAGUAUUUGAACUCAUAACUAGAAAUCAAGGCAGUACUGCAAGUCGUGGACGUACUGUACUAUAAAAUUGACGCAUAAACCACACAGUGAUGGAAUACUAUCAAGCUAACUUGAAAUCAAAACGAAAAUGUAGGAAAAAUAUAAACAACAUGAAUUGAAUCUCAUCAAAUCUAUGAAAAUCAAACAAAAAAACAAGGGGAAUAGAAAUAGUAAAUUGCAACUGAAAGGAAGAGAAGCAAGUAAAGUACAACAAAACGAUAGGCAGAUCUAACUUAAAAACACAGAAAAACCUGAUCUAGGAGCGCGGUCCAUGUCGCCGGUUCACUGCUUCAAAUCGUUCUCGGCUUCCUGGUUGGGCAUGACGACGCCGGUGGAGACGAAGCGAGACGAAGCUGACGGGCUUUGUGAAGUGGCCUUUCUGUCUUUGCGGCGUUUCCUGGAGCCGUAGUCUUUGUCGGAGUCGGAAUCGGCGAAAAAGAGGAAGGACUUGAAAAAAGAAAAGAAAUAUCAGUGAGAGAUAUCAAGUGCGAAAAAGAGGAAGGACUUGAACAGAAAAAGCUUACCUGAUAUGUUUCUACUCUUAUGUCCAGACUUCAGAUAUGGGGCGGUAGAAAACUGAUAGGUAUGAAACUAAGGUGGAGCGAAUUCCUAAUAUUCAAAAUCAGUAAAAAAAACAACACGGAUUAACUUGGAGCGAAUUCCUAAUAUUCAAUAGUAUCAUGAAAUUAAGGUGAGAAACAGCCGAGAUGAAUAACAAAAUUAAAUCAGUUGAUGUGAUGAGUAUCAGUCCCAAGUAAUUACUUUAAACUACUCUCCUUUUGAAUAAUUCAAUGUAUUAUACAUAUACAGUCAUCUCUUUGUUUACGGUUUAUGAAAAGAAAGCACUUAGAACACGUAUCACAUAUUCAGAUGUGUUGAUGCAAAGAAAUAAUGAAGACGAUAUAAAUUAAUGUUCUCUUAUACCAAUGACCUAGACUAUAAUUUAAUGAUAUAUGUGGUAUCUAAUUUAGCAUUUUGACCAAAUCCAGCUAAAUCUUCUUCUGAGUUUACAUAAGGAAGCAAAAGAAUUAAAUGAGGUAUGGGGUUUCAUAAAUCCCAUAUAUUCACACCAUGCUGGUUAACAACGUUUCGUGUGAAAAUGAGGGUUGAAAGGUCUUUUAUAGGGAUAGCACAAAUACCGUGGGAUCAAGCUUUAAUAAAACCAGACGGCUAAGAUUGUUAGGCAUUUUAUCAGUAAAUCCAGAGAUAUUAGAUCUUUAGCCAUGCUACCCUAUUGCUAAAGUAAAUGUAGAGAUGUUCAAUCAGAUACUUCAAGAGUGGCAUAUUCGAAACUGGCAUUUUACUAUAGCAAAAUUCUGAAUUUUCUUAAAUAAGAAAACAUAAAGUAGAAUUCACAUAAAGUUGACUAAACUCAAUUCACUUCAAUUCUUAUACUAUGUCGCGAAUAGUAACCGUUGUUUAUGUUUUCAAGUUUAAUACUGUGAAGGAUCAUGCUACACAAAUUGAAAAUUAUAACAAAUUCAAAUAUAUGUUGAUUGCCUCAAGUAAACCCCAGAUACAUUAUUAAAAGUUAAUAGUUUCAUUAACAAUAGAUUACAUAUAUUAUAGAAAUUAGUGGAAGAUUGAAAUUAUGACAGAUUAAAAAGCAUACCAAGCUGUUGCAAUUGUAUCUAGAUGUCGAACUACAGAACAAACAGAAUGUGUAUAACCGAAAAAUUUAUAUUAGUUAAAAAUUAAGAAUGGAAAAUAAUCCAAUAGGAGUUGUCAUAUAUAAAAAUAUGACAGAAAACAAAAAUAUGAAUUUUCAAAACCUCAAUCUAAGGCUAUACUAACAAAGGCGCACGUGUCACUAUCAAAAACACAUGCAAAAAACCCUCAUUUUGUAAAAGAAACCUGCAUGCAAAAAGCUUGUGCAAGUUCAAGUUGUGGUAUAUCUAGUAUUUGUGUCAAUUUAUUAAACUUGACCAUUACACCAAAUGUAUCUCUUAUUUUUAAAUGAAGAGCUUGUGUGUUGGGCCAACACAUUGGUAUUAAAAGUAUCUCUAUUACACUUGACCAUUACACCAAAUGUAUCUCUAUUAAACUUGACAAUUACACCAAAUGUAUCCCCAAUUUAACAAAUGUAUCUCUUAUUUGCACAACGCAGUUCAAGAGAUUCACAAAUUGACCAAUGCGUUGUUUGAUUUGGUAAAAGAAUAAGUACACCAGAUUUGACAAAAUAUAAUUUCAACUCAGAAAGAAAGAAAUACAGUUGUCUUUAUUUGAGUAUAUUGCAUGUAAACUGUAACUUUACCUGAUAAACUGCUAAAAAAUGAAAAUCAAAUCAGCAAGCUAUAUACUGGAAUCCGGUGCAAUCGAUCAUUGAGGUCCUAGACUACAGAACAGACAAACGCCGAAUCAGCUCAAAUCAGGUAAUGGGAACGGUUAUCCUUCUUGAAAUGAUAAGCUCAAUCUCAAACAGUAUAAAAACAACACAAAAACAUAAUGAAAAAAUUUGAAAAUUCAAAAGCACUCAACUUAUCUAUUCGAUAUGAGCCGAGGAUUGGGAACUUCCCAAAUCUAUAGUCCCACGAAUCCAUCUUAAGGAAAAUUUAUAUUGCA